UGUGUGAAUUUGCAUUUCUUUGGUUUUUGGAGGGCAUGAGCUUCUUUCCAUUUGUUUGGGGCCAUUGUGAAUGUUCAGUCUUUGCCUGUUUUCUAUGGAAGGGUCCCCAUUUCCCUUGCCGACGGAUGCAGCACUCUGGCAGCUGGGAGUGGUGGCAUUCAGCGGUGCCCUUGUGUGCUUUAGCUGUGGUGCGUGCGGGAGAGGAGGGCUGAUGCUAGCCUGGAAUCUUACCAGGGAUCUGCAGCCCCGGCUUUGUUGUCAGAAAAUGCUGAGAGGCCUCCUGGGAGCCAGGCAGGAUGCAGCAGGAAACAGAGGGGCAGAAACAGAGGUUGCAGUGAGCCGAGAUUGUGCCACUGCACUCCAGCCUGGGCGACAGAGUGAGACCCUGUCUCAAAAAAAGAAAAAAAAAUUUUUUUAAUCUCUGUAAUUUGUUAAUUAUUUCAGUUAGCGUUAGUAUAUUGUUUGUAUGAAAAUACUGCUUUUGGGCCGGGGGCUGUGGCUCACGCCUGUAAUCCCAGCACUUUAGGAGUCUGAAGUGAGCGGAUCAUGAGGUCAGGGGAUUGAGACCGUGCUGGCUAACACGGUGAAACCCCACCUCUACUAAAAAUACAAAAAAUUAGCCAGGCGUGGUUGCGGGUGCCUGUGAUCCCAGUUACUUGGGAGGCUGAGGCAGGAGA
rnacentral:lncRNA from 1 species